UACGUAGGUGGCAAGCGUUGUCCGGAUUCACUGGGCGUAAAGCGCGCGCAGGCGGUGAUGUAAGACAGAUGUGAAAUCCCCGGGCUCAACCUGGGAACUGCAUUUGUGACUGCAUCGCUGGAGUGCGGCAGAGGGGGAUGGAAUUCCGCGUGUAGCAGUGAAAUGCGUAGAUAUGCGGAGGAACACCGAUGGCGAAGGCAAUCCCCUGGGCCUGCACUGACGCUCAUGCACGAAAGCGUGGGGAGCAAACAGG
rnacentral:rRNA from 1 species